CAGAAAUCCGCCUGCCUCUGCCUCCCAAGUGCCACUCUGAUUUUUUUUAAUUAAUUAAUUUAUUUACAUCAAACGCUGCCUCCCCUCCUGGCAUCCCUCACAGAGACCCUCCUCCUAUUCCACUCCCCUUUUCUUCUGAGAGGGUGGGGUCCCCUAGGUAUCCCUGCCAAUCCUAGCCUGCCACUCUCUACAUCUACCUACAGCCUUCAGGCUUGCACUGGGAAAUGAAGAUUUCCACGAACCCAGUGACUGAGUGAGCCCCAUUGAUAGGGCCAAAUGGGGUUUGGAUAAACUUACUUUGGAUUGAUAUGUAACUGGCUUGGAAGAGGAUUUCCGUUUCCUUCCUGUCUGUUUCCUCUUCCAGGACCUCUGAGAACUAUGGGAAUUACUAGGAAGAGACGUGUGGUCCUGCCAUCAGGAGAAUAUUCUCCAUGAUCAUGGAAAAUGUGUGUGUAUGUAUGCAGGGCCUGUGUAUUCUAGCUUUAUGGACUUCUCCAGAAGCAUUCUGAUGGCUGCUGCUAGAAUCCUGAAUUUAGGAAGGAUGUGGUCAGAAGAUGAUGAUUUAUGGUGCUGAAGAUGGAUUCACAAGUUCACAAGUAACGCAGAUGCCAUUGGGAGCAAGAGAGCAUCUCCGGAGAAGGUUCAGCCCAAGGAAAAGAGAAAAAAGUGAGAUCUGCUUUCUCCCAGCCAUAAAUGAGAUUUUGAGAGCAGGAAGCAGGCAAUGACCUGUCGUUCUGAUAAAAAUUCACUCAGGGAGCGGCUUACUGUCAUAUUCCAGUAAGUUUGCCUGGAGGAUGUCUGUGUUUGAACUUAUACGAUGCCUUCAGCCUCCUCUUAGUUAUGUGACAUCUGUGCUCGGGUGGCUUUGCAAGCCAGGAAGUUGCCUCAUCAUUGGAGAACUGGGUUCUGUAUAUGGACAGUCAAGCCUUAGUCAAAAUAGAAAUAAACUCUCUGUUUAUAUACACAC